rnacentral:tRNA from 1 species
GCUCUGGUGGCUCAAUCGGAUAGAGCGUUGGACUACUAAUCCAAGGGUUGAUCAAGUCCCGCUCAGAGUA